rnacentral:rRNA from 1 species
CCCUUAGAUGUUCUGGGCCGCACGCGCGCUACACUGAUGCAUUCAACGAGUCUAAAACCUGCUCUGAUAGGGGUGGGUAAUCUUUUGAAUGUGCAUCGUGAUUGGGAUAGAUGAUUGCAAUUUUUCAUCUUCAACGAGGAAUGCCUGGUAAACGCAAGUCAUCAGCUUGCAUUGAUUACGUCCCUGCCCUUUGUACACACCGCCCGUCGCUCCUACCGAUUGAAUGAUCCGAUGAAUAUCAUGGAUUGAGGAUUAUAGCAGGUUCGCCUGUCUUGAUCUUCGAGAAGUGAAGUAAAUCUUAUCAUUUAGAGGAAGGAGAAGUCGUAACA